AUUGAACGCUGGCGGAAUGCCUUACACAUGCAAGUCGAACGGCAGCACGGACUUCGGUCUGGUGGCGAGUGGCGAACGGGUGAGUAAUGUAUCGGAACGUGCCCAGUCGUGGGGGAUAACGUAGUGAAAAUUACGCUAAUACCGCAUACGAUCUAUGGAUGAAAGCGGGGGAUCGCAAGACCUCGCGCGAUUGGAGCGGCCGAUAUCAGAUUAGGUAGUUGGUGGGGUAAAGGCCCACCAAGCCAACGAUCUGUAGCUGGUCUGAGAGGACGACCAGCCACACUGGAACUGCGCCACGGUCCAGACUCCACCGGGAGGCAGCAGUGGGGAAUUUUGGACAAUGGGCGAAAGCCUGAUCCAGCCAUUCCGCGUGCAGGAUGAAGGCCCUCGGGUUGUAAACUGCUUUUGUACAGAACGAAAAGGUUUCUACUAAUACUAGGAGCUCAUGACGGUACUGUAAGAAUAAGCACCGGCUAACUACGUGCCAGCAGCCGCAGUAA
rnacentral:rRNA from 1 species